UACGAGGGGGACAAGCGUUGUUCGGAUUCACUGGGCUUAAAGGGCGCGUAGGCGGAUUGGCAAGUCCGGGGUGAAAUCUUUCAGCUUAACUGGAAAAGUGCCUUGGAUACUGCCAGUCUCGAGGGAGGUAGGGGUCUGCGGAACUUCUGGUGGAGCGGUGAAAUGCGUAGAUAUCAGAAGGAACGCCGGUGGCGAAAGCGGCGGACUGGACCUCUUCUGACGCUGAGGCGCGAAAGCUAGGGGAGCAAACGGG
rnacentral:rRNA from 1 species